AACUAAAGAGAGCAGUUCCAGCACAGUCCAGAAAGCCACCCGGAACUAGAGGAGGAGGAGGAGCAGUAGAAGUAACCCAAAAUGGCUCCUUACCCGAUGCAUGGCACAGUGGGGCAGCACAGGCCCCGGCCACUCGGAGAUGACGGUGAUUAUGUGCAUGAAAUGGAAAUCUGCAUGACCCCGAGGAAGCAAGUCCACAAAAUCUGUGACCCAGAGAUCACUUAAAGGACACAGGAGGGUGUGUGAUGCUCUGCCCUUUUAUACAAGGGACUUGAACUUCUAGGAACUCUGGGGUCCAAGAGGGAACUGAACCCCCACCAGUACUGAGCAAUGACUGCAUAAGACAAUUUCUCUAAGCAGCACUCAUAUUCUCGUGCCUUCCUAGAAUAGAGGAUGAUAAAAAUAAGCAUAAUUUUCAUCGUGAACAAGAGGCCAAAUUCUUCCACAUCCGAUACUAACAUUUGGAUCUUCGGGGCUCCUGGGGGAGCAGAAGUGCUGGUGUCCGUGUCUGCACUCACUGAAUUCCUAGGUUGGUGUUUAAGUUUUUCAGGCUACCCUGUCAGUGCCUGCAUUCCACCUGUCCAACUCUCAACUCUUUUAAGGCGGUGGCUCUAAUUUGCUCCCACCUUGGAAAGCGCGCACACACACACACACACACACACACACACACACACGUGUUAGGAGUGUGAGAAGAGUAGGACGACCUAGAUCUGACCUCAAUGGCAGGCUGGGUCCUGGUUAG
rnacentral:lncRNA from 1 species